CUUAAAUUUGUUCUUGUUUUUUAGAUUUUUUUCUAUCCAAUGUCUAACUUAAGAGGACAGUUUUUAGAGUUCAAAAUUCUCUGAGCCUCCUCACUGACCCUGAACACAACUCAUAAUGGCCGCUUUGCUUAAACUGCGCAGUCUGUCUGAGCUUUAUUAGAGUUACAAGACUGAAUUGGAUGUGAAGGUCGUUACAUCAUACUUCAAAACAAAACAAACAGAACAGUGUCAUCUACAAACACCAGUGGGGCCUUCAGGGAGAAUCGGACAUUUGCUAUUGUAGCAUUUAUAUGUGGUGAAAUGGACAGAGAAUAUAUUAGUGGUCUAAAACACAGCUGGGUGACUAAUUUCCUAAAAGGAUCACAUGAAGAAUUGACACUGCCAUUUAGGGCCGAGACUUAAAUUGACUUUAAUUUUGCUCAAUAGCAAUUGUCUCCUGAUCAAAACCAGUUUAUUUGGGUUUUUGUACAGUUUUUUAAUGGUCUAGAGCUGGUCUGUCACUUUUUCUCAAAAUCCCAGUCUUUGUCGAGAAAUCAUGAUUUUCUCACUUUCCAGCUCUGAAAAAGAGCAGUUUUUUUUUUUUUUUAACAGUAACAAUUUAUAGGUGCUACACUCUACCAAUAAUAUGAUAAUGACCAAUAACAUGAAAAAUGUAACCUUUUUAGGAGUAAUAAAUCCAGUAUUUUUCAUCUGAUUGAGGAUUUCCCAACAUGACCUUAAUAUGUUCUCAUUUAUAAGGUCGGUUCACCUGAAUCAAGAGCCACAAUACAUACAGUUACUUCCAUAUGUUCUCCUUCACAUUUACCACCGAUGCUUACUAUAAAAUCACCUGGUUAGAUUGUGGGGAUUAAAGUUUAAGGUCACAAUGUUCUCACAGAACAGAUUAUGUGGCCAUAACACAGGAAUUCGGACCUGGGUUGGAAGUUUACUUCAUUUUCUUGGCAGAGCAUUUAUUUUUCAACAAGCUAAAGUCCCAAAAGUCUACACUGGAAAAAAAGUCUAAAUAAAUGUAGAGAAGUGAUCAGAGUGCAACCUGACAUGGCGCCUGUACCAAGUGCUUACCUGAGACAAUGAAUAACCAUGCAUUCAGGUUAUUUUCCUCAUUAUGAAAUUCUAGUUAUAGUUGUAUAAAUGUGUCAUUAUAUUAAAAGAUUAAGAAUUUCCUCAGUAAAUUGUCAAAAGGACUUGGUUCUAUUACCACACUUCCCCAUAUUACAGCAAUAAGUGAAAUGACGUUCUUGUAGAUAUGAUCUACUUUUUAAUCAUUUUCGUGCUCAAUUUACAAGAUGAAAGAGGAGAUUUUGCAGUGAAAAUAGAGAAACAACAGUGUGCCUGAACCGAUUCCCUGAGGAACUCCUGAAGAUUCGCUGAACGCUGCUGAACAGCAGCAUGUGUUUCACAGUGGAAUGUGUCAGUGUUGAUCGG